rnacentral:rRNA from 1 species
UACGUAGGUGGCAAGCGUUGUCCGGAUUUAUUGGGCGUAAAGGGCGCGUAGGCGGCCACGCGUGUCUUUCGUGAAAUCCCUCGGCUUAACUGAGGACGUGCGGAAGAAACUGCGAGGCUUGAGUCCGGGAGAGGGGGGUGGAAUUCCCAGUGUAGCGGUGAAAUGCGUAGAUAUUGGGAAGAACACCGGUGGCGUAGGCGACUAGCUGGGCUGUAACUGACGCUGAGGAACGAAAGCCAGGGGAGCGAAUGGG